rnacentral:rRNA from 1 species
AUACGUAGGUGACAAGCGUUAUCCGGAUUUACUGGGUGUAAAGGGCGUGUAGGCGGUUUAGCAAGUCAGAAGUGAAAUUCCCGGGCUUAACUUGGGCGCUGCUUCUGAAACUGCUUUACUUGAGUGCUGGAGAGGAUAGUGGAAUUCCUAGUGUAGCGGUAAAAUGCGCAGAUAUUAGGAGGAACACCGGUGGCGAAGGCGGCUAUCUGGACAGUAACUGACGCUGAGGCGCGAAAGCACGGGGAGCAAACAGGAUUAGAUACCCUGGUAGUCCGUGCCGUAAACGAUGAAUACUAGGUGUAGGGGGUAUCGACUCCCUCUGUGCCGCAGUUAACACAUUAAGUAUUCCACCUGGGGAGUACGGCCGCAAGGUUGAAACUCAAAUGAAUGGGCGGGG